rnacentral:rRNA from 1 species
AACGAACGCUGGCGGCAGGCUUAACACAUGCAAGUCGAACGCACCUUCGGGUGAGUGGCAGACGGGUGAGUAACGCGUGGGAACGUGCCUUUCGGUCUGGAAUAACCCAGGGAAACUUGGGCUAAUACCGGAUACGCCCUCCGGGGGAAAGAUUUAUCGCCGAAAGAUCGGCCCGCGUCGGAUUAGCUUGUUGGUGGGGUAAUGGCCUACCAAGGCAACGAUCCGUAGCUGGUCUGAGAGGAUGAUCAGCCACACUGGGACUGAGACACGGCCCAGACUCCUACGGGAGGCAGCAGUGGGGAAUAUUGGACAAUGGGCGAAAGCCUGAUCCAGCCAUGCCGCGUGAGUGAAGAAGGCCUUAGGGUUGUAAAGCUCUUUCAGCGGGGAAGAUAAUGACGGUACCCGCAGAAGAAGCCCCGGCUAACUCCGUG